UAGGGAAUCUUCGGCAAUGGGGGCAACCCUGACCGAGCAACGCCGCGUGAGUGAAGAAGGUUUUCGGAUCGUAAAGCUCUGUUGUAAGAGAAGAACGUGUGUGAGAGUGGAAAUUUCACACAGUGACGGUAACUUACCAGAAAGGGACGGCUAACUACGUGCCAGCAGCCGCGGUAAUACGUAGGUCCCGAGCGUUGUCCGGAUUUAUUGGGCGUAAAGCGCGCGCAGGCGGUUUAAUAAGUCUGAAGUUAAAGGCAGUGGCUUAACCAUUGUUGGCUUUGGAAACUGUUAAACUUGAGUGCAGAAGGGGAGAGUGGAAUUCCAUGUGUAGCGGUGAAAUGCGUGGAUAUAUGGGGGAACACCGGUGGCGAAAGCGGCUCUCUGGGCUGUGACUGACGCUGAGGCUCGAGAGCGUGGGGAGCAAACAGG
rnacentral:rRNA from 1 species